rnacentral:tRNA from 1 species
CCGAGGGUGUUAUAAGAAUUGCUAACUCUUUAACCUGGAACUAACAUACCAGCUCCCUC